UGCUAAUAUUAACCCCAGUUAACUCCUCCAAAAGCCUUGCUCAAACCAUCUUAUUCCCAUCAAUCUAUUCAUUUGCAGCAAAACCCAAGUCCAUAAACUAUCCCAAAGUCUCCUUCUCGGUUUUUUGCAGCCAAAGCCAACAAAAAUAUCCACCUUUCGAUUCUUUGCUCAACUCUUAUCGUAAAGAAGAAGUUCGUGUCACCAUAAAAGACACGACUCAAUUCACAGUUGUUUAUCAGAGACUAAUCUUCAUUUGACAGCUUCUGGUCUGAAAUCCAAAACUAGAGGCAAGGUUAAAGAUAUAUAUGAUGGUGGGGGUUAUCUUGUAUUAGUGACUACUAUCGUCAAAGUGCAUUUGAUAGGAUUCUUGCCUCUAUCCCAUUCAAGGGCCAGGUUUUUAUUCUUGCUACUUCUUGAUGAUGGUGAAUAUUUAUAGUAGUAAUUGAGAUGAAGGGAUCAUUGUUGGGAUGUCAAUUUUCUGAUUCUUAAUGAGACAAGUUUGUGGUGGUUUAAUAGAACACAACAUAUUACUCCAGAUGCUGUUUUGUCAGUACCAGAUAAAAAUGUUGCAACUGCUAAGAAAUGUUCUGCCUUUCCUAUUGAACUUGUUGAGAAGAGCCUCACUGUGUGCCUGUACCAAAACAAAUACCCAAGCAAGAGUUGUUGAAACUUUUUCCAGAAAAGUGGGUAACAAACUAUGGGCAAAUCCACCAGCAUGAUCAUGAUCAACCUAUCAGAUCAACCAAAAGUUAGAUCAUCACUAAAUCAGAUGGAACCAGUGAAGUUCGAUUUGAUCACAACCGUUUGCGAUCUCAGUCUACACUACCAAUCUUCCCAACACAGUUGAUGAUGUAACCUUUUCAAAUUGGAAGUCCAGGAUCAGAAUCAGCUCUUAUAGAGAGUUUUCAAGCAGAUGGAAAACCUCUAUAUUAUUUUAAAGAUCCUAUUACAGGACAUUGCCCAUGGGAUCUUAUAUGUUCCUGUGAAUUGUGCCAUGAGCUAAACUUUGAAGAGUGUGUUGUAGGCAUGGAUAAUGAAGCUUACAAGCCUUACAAGAAAUUUUUUUACAAGAAAUUAACAUAGUUUGAGUUUUACAAACGGUGGAUAAAUGGUGAUCCAAAUAUUAGUCCUCUGGGAGAGGAUAAUGUCAAAUUUGUUUAUCUUGUUGAUUGUUCUGUAGAUAAGCUGAAAAAAUCGUCAGAAGUUGAACAACAGCUUUCCUCACCACCUCCACCACCAAAGAAAGAUCCUCAAGGCCAAAAAAAAUGGUUAGUCAAGCCUUUAAAGUAGCCAUGUUAUAAAAAUAUCAAUAAAUGGGUUCAAAAACAAAAUCAGAUCCAAUCUUGUUCCCAACAAGUCCAGACUUCUUGACUUAUCUGAGAUGGAAUUGAACAUAUACCCAUUAUUAAACAUAUCGAGUUAUUCUCUCUUAAAUAUUAAACAUAUACCCAUUAUUUAUCAUUAAAACAACAUGGAGUGAAUUUUGGUCCUUUUAUAAAAUGAGAACGCAAUCUUAACAAGUUAAAUAAUAUAUAAUUAUCAAUGAGGUUUUGGUAUUGUUGAUUAAAAAGAAGGCUUAAGAUGCUUAGGCUCUGUGAACUCUUACCAUAUUUUAUGAUUCUUCUUUUUACUUAACAAUGGAAAGAGAAUGAAAUGUGACAACUUUCUUGAGAAUUUGAUAUGGGAAUUCUUCUUUAAUCUUUAUCAACACUAUCCUAAUUUUUAUUUUUAAGGACAAGGAUGCCGUGAAGAAAAUAGCAUCGAAAUGUGACAAAUGAAAUGAGUCGGUUCAACAGAAGAGAGUAGCUUUGGUUGAAUAUUUUCUGUAUUGUAAACGACACCCUCUUAAUUGUUACGAGGUUCUUUCAAAGGGGAGCAAUGGAGUACACUAUUUUGGUAGCUAAAACGACGAUUUUUCUAGCUACAUCACUCACUCUUUAUCUAAGGGCAACUUUGGUUGAAUAUUUUAUGUUUUGUAAACGACAUAUUCUUAAUGGUUUAUGAGGAUCUUUUCAAGGAAGCAUACUUGU